rnacentral:rRNA from 1 species
CCUACGGGUGGCAGCAGUGAGGAAUAUUGGUCAAUGGCCGGAAGGCUGAACCAGCCAAGCCGCGUGAAGGACGAAGGUGCCAAGGAUUGUAAACUUCUUUUGUCAAGGGACAAAAUCAGGCUCGAGAGCCUGACCGAGGGUACUGGAAGAAAAAGCAUCGGCUAACUCCGUGCCAGCAGCCGCGGUAAUACGGAGGUGGCGAGCGUUAUCCGGAUUUAUUGGGUUUAAAGGGUGCGUAGGCGGGCUGUUAAGUCAGCGGUAAAAGCCCGGGGCUCAACCCCGGCGAGCCGGUGAAACUGGCUGUCUUGAGCUGGCGAGACGUAUGCGGAAUGCGCCGUGUCGCGGU